UACGUAGGGGGCUAGCGUUGUCCGGAAUCAUUGGGCGUAAAGAGCGUGUAGGCGGUCCGGUAAGUCCGCUGUGAAAGUCGGGGGCUCAACCCUCGAAUGCCGGUGGAUACUGUCGGGCUAGAGUGCGGAAGAGGCGAGUGGAAUUCCUGGUGUAGCGGUGAAAUGCGCAGAUAUCAGGAGGAACACCCAUUGCGAAGGCAGCUCGCUGGGACGUAACUGACGCUGAGACGCGAAAGCGUGGGGAGCAAACAGG
rnacentral:rRNA from 1 species